AGGACGAACGCUGGCGGCGUGCUUAACACAUGCAAGUCGAACGGAAAGGUCUCUUCGGAGACACUCGAGUGGCGAACGGGUGAGUAACACGUGGGUAAGUCUGCCCUGCACAUCGGGAUAAGCCUGGGAAACUGGGUCUAAUACCGAAUAGGACCACGGGACGCAUGUCCUGUGGUGGAAAGCUUUUGCGGUGUGGGAUGGGCCCGCGGCCUAUCAGCUUGUUGGUGGGGUGACGGCCUACCAAGGCUACGACGGGUAGCCGGCCUGAGAGGGUGUCCGGCCACACUGGGACUGAGAUACGGCCCAGACUCCUACGGGAGGCAGCAGUGGGGAAUAUUGCACAAUGGGCGCAAGCCUGACGCAGCGACGCCGCGUGGGGGAUGAAGGCCUUCGGGUUGUAACCCCUUUCAGCAGGGACGAAGCGAAGUGACGGUACCUGCAGAAGAGCACCGGCCAACUACGUGCCAGCAGCCGCGGUA
rnacentral:rRNA from 1 species